rnacentral:rRNA from 1 species
GAUGAACGCUGGCGGCGUGCCUAAUACAUGCAAGUCGAGCGAACGGACGAGAAGCUUGCUUCUCUGAUGUUAGCGGCGGACGGGUGAGUAACACGUGGAUAACCUACCUAUAAGACUGGGAUAACUUCGGGAAACCGGAGCUAAUGCCGGAUAAUAUUUUGAACCGCAUGGUUCAAAAGUGAAAGACGGUCCUGCUGUCACUUAUAGAUGGAUCCGCGCUGCAUUAGCUAGUUGGUAAGGUAACGGCUUACCAAGGCAACGAUGCAUAGCCGACCUGAGAGGGUGAUCGGCCACACUGGAACUGAGACACGGUCCAGACUCCUACGGGAGGCAGCAGUAGGGAAUCUUCCGCAAUGGGCGAAAGCCUGACGGAGCAACGCCGCGUGAGUGAUGAAGGUCUUCGGAUCGUAAAACUCUGUUAUUAGGGAAGAACAUAUGUGUAAGUAACUGUGCACAUCUUGACGGUACCUAAUCAGAAAGCCACGGCUAACUACGUG